rnacentral:rRNA from 1 species
GAUGAACGCUAGCGGCAGGCUUAAUACAUGCAAGUCGAGGGGCAGCGGGAGUAGCAAUACUUGCCGGCGACCGGCGCACGGGUGCGUAACACGUAUGUAAUCUGCCCAUCACAGGAGGAUAGCCCGGAGAAAUUCGGAUUAAUACUCCAUAAUAGAAGAUAAAGCAUUUUAUUUUCUUGAAAGUUCCGACGGUGAUGGAUGAACAUGCGACUGAUUAGUUUGUUGGUGAGGUAACGGCUCACCAAGACUACGAUCAGUAGGGGUACUGAGAGGUUAAACCCCCACACUGGUACUGAGACACGGACCAGACUCCUACGGGAGGCAGCAGUGGGGAAAAUNUUGCACAAUGGGACGAAAGCCUGAUGCAGCGACGCCGCGUGA